rnacentral:lncRNA from 1 species
UGAAAUGCGGGGACGCCCCAGGCAGAAGCGGCUGUGAGUGGAAGGCUCGGCCGCACGGGCGAGUUCGCAGUGACGAGAUGCAGCACUUCUCCUUCAAGAUUUAAGAUACCGUUCUUCUGGAGGAAAACACUGAAAGCAGUCCUAGAUGUACAUUUUGUUUUAAUCUCCUUUUUCCAAAACGGUGUGGGAGAAACUUUUCUUAGUGGCUAUGAUACAGUUGUUGGGGUGCACCUGUUGAAUGCAAGUUUCAAGGGCAGCUACCAG